rnacentral:tRNA from 1 species
UGAGGUAUAGUUUAAUGGUAAAAUAUUGUUCUCCAAAAGCAAAGUUAUUAGUUCGAUUCUAAUUACCUCUGCGUA